rnacentral:pre_miRNA from 1 species
GUUUGCUAGAACACAUCCACUAAUUUUUAUGUGGGAGUGUUUUAGCAAAGCUAUAACUUAGAGUGUAUUUAACCACUGUUUAGUUAUUUAUUUGCUAAAAUACUCCUUCUAAAAAAUAAGUGGGUGUAUUCUAGCAAAUGCCUAUAAGAUUUGCUAGAACACACCCACUUGUUUUUUUAGAAAGUGUGUUAUAGCAACAUACACCUUAAGGUGUAUUUAUUAAUUUUUUAGUUAUAACUUGCUAAAACACUCCCACAUAAAAACUAGUGGGUGUGUUCUAGAAAAUU